rnacentral:rRNA from 1 species
CCUAACACAUGCAAGUCGAACGGUAACAGGAAGAAGCUUGCUUCUUUGCUGACGAGUGGCGGACGGGUGAGUAAUGUCUGGGAAACUGCCUGAUGGAGGGGGAUAACUACUGGAAACGGCAGCUAAUACCGCAUAACGUCGCAAGACCAAAGAGGGGGACCUUCGGGCCUCUUGCCAUCAGAUGUGCCCAGAUGGGAUUAGCUAGUAGGUGGGGUAACGGCUCACCUAGGCGACGAUCCCUAGCUGGUCUGAGAGGAUGACCAGCCACACUGGAACUGAGACACGGUCCAGACUCCUACGGGAGGCAGCAGUGGGGAAUAUUGCACAGUGGGCGCAAGCCUGAUGCAGCCAUGCCGCGUGUAUGAAGAAGGCCUUCGGGUUGUAAAGACUUUCAGCGGGGAGGAA